UUGAGUCAAGAAGAUCUAGCAUUCAACAUCCUAAACUGGAAAUAAUGUAUUAAAAAUAUAUCUGAGCCAGCCAAAUAGAUGAAGGAUAAAAUAUGAACAAGCAAUAGAGUUUACUGCAACUUUUUUUCUCACACACUUUCUCAGAAGACAGAAAACUCUUCAGCAACAUGUGCCUUAAGAAGUCCUUACGGUCACAGAGCAAGGCGGAAGAGCAUUUUUAAAGAAAGGUCAUGCUUCCAUCCUUAAAGAUUUUAUUAAACUUGUCCUGAGGUGGCAUUGAACCACGAUUCUCUAGUUUCUGAGGCAAGCACGCUAACCUCUGCGCUACGGCUGCUCAUUUAUAUGUUUUUAUAUCCUAUAAUUAUAUUUAAUAUUUUAUAUGCUAUAAAAACCAAGUACUGUGGUACUUGGUUUUUUUA